AGAGGAAAAAAGAGUCAGAGGGACAGAGAUGUAAUAAAAAGAGCGAAGAAUGAUCAAUUUCAAAGCACCUUCUAGAAGAACGUUCAGUAGCUGGGGAACGAGAGUCACAGAAGAUUGUCUUUGACAUCUUUAGGAGAUACAAUCAAGUAAUUAGAAAAUAAAGGGAUAAUGAAGAAUGGUGGAAGUCUUCAUAAUAGGCUAGAACUUAGAGGACUGUGGUAGAUUUCAGGAAAACAAUGCCACAGUAGGUUUAUAGCUCUGGUGGCAGCUAAGCAUAAGUCAUAACGUGUAAGAAAGUCCCAGAAAUAGACAAAUGGCCUGGGCAAAGGAAACCCUUUAUUGCAUGCAGUAUUUUGACAACUGGAGCAACCACCAACUUCCUUUCUCUCCUUGCAAUUUCAGAUAUGAGCUCUCCUAACAAGGCACCUUAUGGAAGAGUUGCCAGAAUGUGAUUCCUGCCAGUGAAGAAGUCGUUGGGGCCAGGAGGUCCACCGCUUGAGUCCUGGAACCCAAGGGACCUAAGCAGAGUCCUCCAAUGGGUCUUGAACUGUAUUCGUGUUGGGAGGACAUUAAAAGGGUGCUGCAGUAGUGAA